UACAUCUUUGGGGUAAUUACAAAAGGUACCGUCAUCGAGGUGAAUGUGAGUGAGCUUCGGUCUCGUGACACAGGAGGCAAGGUCGUCUGGGGAAAAUAUGCACAAGUAACCAACAAUCCAGAAAAUGAUGGGUGCAUUAACGCAGUUCUGCUUGUCUAAGCGGCAUCUUACAGUCUUGGAUACACACAGUUACUUUUCCAAGGAGAACCAUGACUUCCUCAAAACAUUUGCAGAUAAAGAACUUGUUGUGUCAAAGCAUCAGUACGCGAAGUCAGGAAAUGGAUUCUAAGAACUGUUUUUCACUGAACCUUACAAUCAAUAAAAGGAAACCAUUGUGGGCC